rnacentral:rRNA from 1 species
UACGUAGGGGGCAAGCGUUGUCCGGAUUUAUUGGGCGUAAAGAGCGUGUAGGCGGCCAGGUAGGUCAGCUGUGAAAACUCGAGGCUCAACCUCGAGAUGUCGGCUGAAACCAUCUGGCUAGAGUCCGGAAGAGGAGAAUGGAAUUCCCGGUGUAGCGGUGAAAUGCGUAGAGAUCGGGAGGAACACCAGUGGCGAAGGCGGCCUUCUGGACCAGUACUGACGCUGAGGCACGAAAGCGUGGGGAGCAAACAGG